rnacentral:lncRNA from 1 species
GUGGCGUGGGCAUAGAAGGAAGGCCAGUGGCCACGAGGGACAAUCUUGGUCUUGGGAGAUCCUGGAAAUGAUAGGGAGUCCCUUGAUAUGUGUGGCAUGGGCUCCUUCAGGUGCUAGUGGAUUCCUUAGGAUGGUGGUGUUGGCAUGAAAGGCAGGCUUGUAUCAUGAGGAAUGAUUGUCAUCUUGUCUGAUUCUUGGAGAUGGCAGGAAGCCCCUGGAAACACAUGGUGUGGACUCUUUCACAGGCUGUUGAAACCCUCCUGAAUGUGAGGCCAGAGACAGGCAGACAGCAGAUGUAUUGCAGGGAGCUGGAUGACAUGGCCCUUGGAACCUGUGCACAUGCCUGCCUUUCUGAUGCACGUCCAUGUUUUCUCUGCACCUCCCCGGUGGUGUUGGUAUAAAAAGCAGGCUUACAUCAGCAAGGGAUGAUUGUCGUCUCAUGCGAUCCUGGGAGAUGGCAGAAGUCCCGGGACACAUGGAGUGUGGGCUCUUUCGGAGGCUGUUGGAUCCCUCCUGAAUGUGUUGUGGCCAUGGAAGUAAGGCCAGUGGCUACGAGGGACAGUCUUCAUCUUGGGAGAUCCCUAGAGAGGGCAGGGAGCCCCUUGACAUGUGGAAUGUGAUCUCUGUUGGGUGCUGGUGGAUCCCACAGGUGGUCUGGCAUGGAAGAAGGCCAGAGGCUGCGAUGGAUCAUCUUUGUCUUGGGAGAUUCCUGGAGAUGGUGGGGAGCCCCUGGGCACGUGCAGCAUAUGUGGCGUGGGCUUCUUCAGGUGCUGGUGGAUCCCUCAGGAUGCUUUUCAAGGUUUUUCUAUGAGUUCUGUUAAAGAGUCUGAAAAUGGAGCGUAGAAGACAUGCUUCGAUUUCCAGGAUGGUUGUGUUUUCCAGAGAGGCGGAGUUCAUUGUGGAACCAGCACAGAUUUUCAUACGAAAGUUAUUUCUUUUUAACCUCAAAAAGUGACAGAAUGGAGUGUAUCAUGAAAAAGUCUGACAUCAAAACCUCAAAAUGUGAUAUUGAUUGGGUGAGAUAGAAUUCCAUGGAAUUUCAUUGCCAAACCAGUGAAGUGCUAAUUUUGACAUUUGUACCAGCUAACGUAGCUGUGAAGAAACACACCAAUACACUUCUAAGGACAGCAUAGACCAAGAUCUAGGUUUCAUAUGGAUGAAUUUAUUCUUCCCUUUGAGGCAAGACAAGAAGGAAAGAAAGUAUUGGGAAUAAUGCUGCCCUCCCAUCCUCAAGGGCCAGUGGGAACUCUAAUAUUGAUUGGUUUUCACAGAAUUCCAUGGACUUUAACUGCUGAACCAAUGAUGCACUGAUUUUGUCACUUGUACCAGCUAACGCAUCUGGGAGGCAACAAAACAAUACUCUCCUGAGGUUAAUGUGGACCAAAAACUAGAUUUCAUAUAAAAGAGUUUAUUCCUUCUACUUGAGGUGUGACAUGAAGGAAAGUAAUGGAAAUAAUUCUGCCCUCCCAUUCUCAAGGGCCAGGGGGAAUUCAAAUAUUGAACGGAAGUGAUUUUGGAAUUGCAUGGAAUUCUCACUGCCAUCCCAAAGAAAUGCUGAUCUUGUCACUCUUACCUGUUUCAUUCCCUGGGGGCAGAACAAAAGGACGCACUCCAAAGAUCGGCAUGAACCAAGAACUGGGUUUCAUAUAAAAUAUUUUAUUCUGUCCUCUUGAGAUGUGACAUGAGAAAAGUAUUGAGAAUACUUCUAUCACCUCAUCUUCAAGAAUCCGUAGGAAUUCUCCCAUGGUGGACUUUACGGUUAACCUGAACAGGUCUUGGAAAAAGGACUUUAAACAUUCUCCUGUUCUGUGGAAUAAGUAUACUUUUUUCUGGACAUACACCUUGUCAGUGAGUUCCAUGUGAUACUAGAGUUGCAUAGAUUUUUAACCUUUACGCCAAUGAAGAUCUGAGGCAAACAUUGCCCCUUUUUUAGAAGUUUGCAUUUGUCACUGAUAACUGUAAUAAUUGAUCUUGUUGAAAAGCCUGGGAAAUGAAGAUCUGAUAUGUCACUUUUACCGGCUUCCUCAACUGAAAAAGAAUACAAUGAAACACGCUGAGAAUUUUUGUGCUUUCUCAGUCUUGCUGAUGAUCUUUCUAUGGGCCUGAAGCGUGGAGAGUGCCAGAGAGGCUGAUCCUCAGCAGUGUGGCAGAGGAAAGUUGGGUGCGACUAAGGGGUAUGCGGUGCCCACAUGCCACUGGGUCCUCAGCAGUACCACCUGGUCAACAAAGACAAGGCACCUAGCCCCACAUGAAACUUUAUUCCUUUCCCUUUUGAGAUGUGACAUG